UACGAAGGGGGCUAGCGUUGCUCGGAAUCACUGGGCGUAAAGCGCACGUAGGCGGCUUUUUAAGUCAGGGGUGAAAUCCUGGAGCUCAACUCCAGAACUGCCUUUGAUACUGAGAAGCUUGAGUCCGGGAGAGGUGAGUGGAACUGCGAGUGUAGAGGUGAAAUUCGUAGAUAUUCGCAAGAACACCAGUGGCGAAGGCGGCUCACUGGACCGGUACUGACGCUGAAGCGCGAAAGCGUGGGGAGCAAACGGG
rnacentral:rRNA from 1 species